CUCCGCGUCUUCAUAGCGAGACGCCGGCACGUCGCUCCACUUUAAUUCGGAAACUCCAGCUACUGCAGUGCAUCUCAGGAGGAUAUGUGCAUGUGAUGUAGCUUAUGUGUGUGUGACAAAGAGAUGGAAGAAAAAGGGGCUGACUGAGCAUGUGCAGUAUGAACAUCAUUACUGUAGCUCAUUUCUUAUUUUAGGGAUAAGCCAUGUUGCAACUAUCCCCACUCUAUCCUACUGGAACAUCACGUGCACCUCUGUGUUCACAAUGAC